rnacentral:rRNA from 1 species
UACAGAGAGUGCAAACGUUGUUCGGAAUUACUGGGCUUGAAGCGCACGUAGGCGGCGUUGUAAGUGUCGGGUGAAAUCCCACGGCUCACCCGUGGAACUGCCCGGCAUACUGCGAUGCUAGAGUGUGGUAGGGGAGAGCGGAACUCCUGGUGGAGCGGUGAAAUGCGUAGAUAUCAGGAGGAACACCGGUGGCGAAGGCGGCUCUCUGGUCCACAACUGACGCUGAGGUGCGAAAGCGUGGGGAGCGAACAGG